rnacentral:rRNA from 1 species
GAUGAACGCUGGCGGCGUGCCUAAUACAUGCAAGUCGAGCGAACAGAUGAGGAGCUUGCUCCUCUGACGAUAGCGGCGGACGGGUGAGUAACACGUGGAUAACCUACCUAUAAGACUGGGAUAACUUCGGGAAACCGGAGCUAAUACCGGAUAAUAUAUUGAACCGCAUGGUUCAAUAGUGAAAGACGGUUUUGCUGUCACUUAUAGAUGGAUCCGCGCCGCAUUAGCUAGUUGGUAAGGUAACGGCUUACCAAGGCAACGAUGCGUAGCCGACCUGAGAGGGGGACCGCCCACACUGGAACUGAGACACGGUCCAGACUCCUACGGGAGGCAGCAGUAGGGAAUCUUCCGCAAUGGGCGAAAGCCUGACGGAGCAACGCCGCGUGAGUGAUGAAGGUCUUCGGAUCGUAAAACUCUGUUAUUAGGGAAGAACAAAUGUGUAAGUAACUAUGCACGUCUUGACGGUACCUAAUCAGAAAGCCACGGCUAACUACGUG